rnacentral:rRNA from 1 species
AUUGAACGCUGGCGGCAUGCCUUACACACGCAAGUCGAACGGUAACAGGUCUUCGGAUGCUGACGAGUGGCGAACGGGUGAGCAAUACAUCGGAACGUGCCUAGUAGUGGGGGAUAACUACUCGAAAGAGUGGCUAAUACCGCAUGAGAUCUACGGAUGAAAGCAGGGGAUCGCAAGACCUUGUGCUACUAGAGCGGCCGAUGGCAGAUUAGGUAGUUGGUGGGAUAAAAGCUUACCAAGCCGACGAUCUGUAGCUGGUCUGAGAGGACGAUCAGCCAGACUGGGACUGAGACACGGCCCAGACUCCUACGGGAGGCAGCAGUGGGGAAUUUUGGACAACGGGCGCAAGCCUGAUCCAGCAAUGCCGCGUGCAGGAUGAAGGCCUUCGGGUUGUAAACUGCUUUUGUACGGAACGAAAAGCCCCGGGUUAAUACCCUGGGGUCAUGACGGUACCGUAAGAAUAAGCACCGGCUAACUACGUGCCAGCCGCCGCGGUAA